UGUACUCGACUUCCUUCGGGAAACUGGGAUUAAUACCUUAUGACACUGUCGCAUGAGAUUUAAGUCAAAGCGUAAAGCGGUAAAAGAUGGUCUCGCGUCCCAUUAGUUAGUUGGUGAGGUAAAGGCUCACCAAGACAGCGAUGGGUAGCCGGCCUGAGAGGGUGAACGGCCACACUGGAACUGAGACACGGUCCAGACUC
rnacentral:rRNA from 1 species